UAGCUAGUUGGUGAGGUAACGGCCCACCAAGGCGACGAUCGGUAGCCGGACUGAGAGGUUGAACGGCCACAUUGGGACUGAGACACGGCCCAGACUCCUACGGGAGGCAGCAGUGGGGAAUAUUGCACAAUGGGGGAAACCCUGAUGCAGCGACGCCGCGUGGAGGAAGAAGGUCUUCGGAUUGUAAACUCCUGUUGUUGAGGAAGAUAAUGACGGUACUCAACAAGGAAGUGACGGCUAACUACGUGCCAGCAGCCGCGGUAAAACGUAGGUCACAAGCGUUGUCCGGAAUUACUGGGUGUAAAGGGAGCGCAGGCGGGAAGACAAGUUGGAAGUGAAAUCCAUGGGCUCAACCCAUGAACUGCUUUCAAAACUGUUUUUCUUGAGUAGUGCAGAGGUAGGCGGAAUUCCCGGUGUAGCGGUGGAAUGCGUAGAUAUCGGGAGGAACACCAGUGGCGAAGGCGGCCUACUGGGCACCAACUGACGCUGAGGCUCGAAAGUGUGGGUAGCAAACAGGAUUAGAUACCCUGGUAGUCCACACCGUAAACGAUGAUUACUAGGUGUUGGAGGAUUGACCCCUUCAGUGCCGCAGUUAACACAAUAAGUAAUCCACCUGGGGAGUACGACCGCAAGGUUGAAACUCAAAGGAAUUGACGGGGGCCCGCACAAGCAGUGGAGUAUGUGGUUUAAUUCGACGCAACGCGAAGAACCUUACCAAGUCUUGACAUCCCUUGACGAUGCUGGAAACAGUAUUUCUCUUCGGAGCAAGGAGACAGGUGGUGCAUGGUUGUCGUCAGCUCGUGUCGUGAGAUGUUGGGUUAAGUCCCGCAACGAGCGCAACCCUUAUGGUCAGUUACUACGCAAGAGGACUCUGGCCAGACUGCCGUUGACAAAACGGAGGAAGGUGGGGAUGACGUCAAAUCAUCAUGCCCUUUAUGACUUGGGCUACACACGUACUACAAUGGCGUUAAACAAAGAGAAGCAAGACCGCGAGGUGGAGCAAAACUCAGAAACAACGUCCCAGUUCGGACCGCAGGCUGCAACUCGCCUGCACGAAGUCGGAAUUGCUAGUAAUCGUGGAUCAGCAUGCCACGGUGAAUACGUUCCCGGGCCUUGUACACACCGCCCGUCACACCAUGAGAGCCGGGGGGACCCGAAGUCGGUAGUCUAACCGCAAGGAGGACGCCGCCGAAGGUAAAACUGGUGAUUGGGGUGAAGUCGUAACAAGGUAA
rnacentral:rRNA from 1 species